GUUAAGUUUAUCGUCAGAAAUUCUGUUAUAGAGUAAUGUGAAUGGUGCCUUGCAAUAAAAUGACAUUGUGACCCCAUGUGAACAAUAAAUGUGCAGAAUUUUUUUUUGAAGAUCCUUAAAACGCAGGGAAAUCAUGCAAAAGACCAAAGAAGUUAUUGAAGAUCCUUAAAACACAUGGAAAUGUUCAUGAAAAGACGAAAAUAUUUUUGAAGGAAUAUUUUAAUAAAUGAAUUCGUUGUCACUAAUAUUGUCUAUUUCUUAUGUUCCAAAACUUAUUUAUAUAUAUGAAUCAUUUAACAAGAGGGAUUCCUAUUUUUUUUUUUGUUAACAUGUGAUUAAUUGGACAUCAAGGGUAGCAUUUUCAAUAACUUUAUAUUUUAUGGAAAAAA
rnacentral:lncRNA from 1 species